CAGCACCUCAAGUGGUCAGGAUGAUUAUUGGGCCUAAAGCAUCCGUAGCCUGUUUUGUAAGUUUCCGGUUAAAUCCAUUAGCUCAACUAAUGGGCUGCCGAAAAUACUGCAAAACUAGGGAGUGGGAGAGGUAGACGGUACUCGGUAGGAAGGGGUAAAAUCCUUUGAUCUAUUGAUGACCACCUGUGGCGAAGGCGGUCUACCAGAACACGUUCGACGGUGAGGGAUGAAAGCUGGGGGAGCAAACCGGAUUAGAUACCCGAGUAGUCC
rnacentral:rRNA from 1 species